rnacentral:rRNA from 1 species
CCCAGACCGACAGCUAAGGUCCCAAAGUGUGUGUUAAGUGGAAAAGGAUGUGAGAUUUCAUAGACAACUAGGAUGUUGGCUUAGAAGCAGCCACUCAUUUAAAGAGUGCGUAACAGCUCACUAGUCGAGAGGUCUUGCGCCGAAAAUGUCCGGGGCUAAAACACACCACCGAAGCUACGGAAUUACCUAUGGUAAUUGGUAGAGGAGCAUUCUGUAAGGACGAAGUUUAAGCGAAAGCGAAGAUGGACGAAACAGAAGAGAGAAUGCCGGAAUGAGUAGCGAGAUAUAUGUGAGAAUCAUAUAGGUCGAAUGUCUAAGGUUUCCUGGGUAAAGCUGAUCUGCUCAGGGUAAGUCGGGACCUAAGGUGAGGGCGAGAGCCGUAAUCGAUGGACAACAGGUAGAAAUUCCUGUACUGCAUAUAUUCAGAACUGUGGGGACACAGGAGGAUAGGGAAUCCUGGUGAUGGAAUACCGGGCUAAGCACAAAGCCGUGGCUGUAGGCAAAUCCGCAGCAUAAGGUGAAGUGUGAUAGGGAGUGAAGAUUAGUAACGAAGUUUCUGAAUCCACACUGUCGAGAAAAGCCGCUAUAGUGAUAUAUGUACCCGUACCGCAAACCGACACAGGUAGACGAGGAGAAAAUCCACAGACCGACGGGAGAAGUGUUGUUAAGGAACUCGGCAAAAUGACCCCGUAACUUAGGGAUAAGGGGAGCCUACGAGAGUAGGUCACAGAAAAGAGGCUCAAGCAACUGUUUAGCAAAAACACAGGUCUCUGCGAAACCGUAAGGUGAAGUAUAGGGGCUGACACCUGCCCGGUGCUGGAAGGUCAAAAGGAGAGGUUAGCGCAAGCGAAGCUUUGAAUUCAAGCCCCAGUAAACGGCGGCCGUAACUAUAACGGUCCUAAGGUAGCGAAAUUCCUUGUCAGGUAAGUUCUGACCCGCACGAAAGGUGUAAUGAUUUGAGCACUGUCUCGACAACACGCCCGGUGAAAUUGAAGAACCAGUGAAGAUACUGGUUACCCGCAACAGGACGGAAAGACCCCAUGGAGCUUUACUGCAGCUUAAUAUUGGGAUUCGGUAUUGUAUGUACAGGAUAGGAGGGAGACUAAGAACCUUGCACGCCAGUGUAGGGGGAGUCGAUGUUGGGAUACCUCUCUUAUAAUACUGAAUUUCUAACCUACCGCCAUAAUCUGGUGGAGGGACAUUGUUAGGCGGGCAGUUUGACUGGGGCGGUCGCCUCCGAAAGAGUAACGGAGGCGCUCAAAGGUCUUCUCAGAAUGAUUGGAAACCAUUCAAAGAGUGUAAAGGCAGAAGAAGGCUUGACUGCGAGAGCGACGGUUCGAGCAGGUACGAAAGUAGGACUUAGUGAUCCGGUGGCAUAAAGUGGGAUUGCCAUCGCUCAACGGAUAAA